GCAACAGCUCAAAUUUGAAAUCUGGCCUCCUCGAGGUCCGAGUUGUAAUUUGUAGAGGGUGUCUCGGGUGCGGUCCCGGUCUAAGUCCCUUGGAACAGGGCGUCAUAGAGGGUGAGAAUCCCGUAUGCGACCGGCGGCCAACCUCGUGUGAGACCCCUUCGACGAGUCGAGUUGUUUGGGAAUGCAGCUCAAAAUGGGUGGUAAAUUUCAUCUAAAGCUAAAUACCGGCCAGAGACCGAUAGCGCACAAGUAGAGUGAUCGAAAGAUGAAAAGCACUUUGGAAAGAGAGUCAAACAGUACGUGAAAUUGUUGAAAGGGAAGCGCUUGCGACCAGACCUGUCCGCGGGCGCUCAGCCUCUGUUCUCAGGGGUGCACUCGUCCGCGAUCAGGCCAGCAUCGGUUCGGACGGCGGGAUAAAGGCCCUGGGAAUGUAGCUCUCUUCGGGGAGUGUUAUAGCCCGAGGUGCAAUGCCGCCAGCCCGGACCGAGGACCGCGCUUCGGCUAGGAUGCUGGCGUAAUGGUCGUAAGCGGCCCGUCUUGAAAACACGGAUAGAGGGUGUCUCGGGUGCGUCCCGGUCUAAGUCCCUUGGAACAGGGCGUCAUAGAGGGUGAGAACCCCGUAUGCGACCGGCGGCCAACCUCGUGUGAGACCCCUUCGACGAGUCGAGUUGUUUGGGAAUGCAGCUCAAAAUGGGUGGUAAAUUUCAUCUAAAGCUAAAUACCGGCCAGAGACCGAUAGCGCACAAGUAGAGUGAUCGAAAGAUGAAAAGCACUUUGGAAAGAGAGUCAAAAAGUACGUGAAAUUGUUGAAAGGGAAGCGCUUGCGACCAGACCUGUCCGCGGGCGCUCAGCCUCUGUUCUCAGGGGUGCACUCGUCCGCGAUCAGGCCAGCAUCGGUUCGGACGGCGGGAUAAAGGCCCCGGGAAUGUAGCUCUCUUCGGGGAGUGUUAUAGCCCGAGGUGCAAUGCCGCCAGCCCGGACCGAGGACCGCGCUUCGGCUAGGAUGCUGGC
rnacentral:rRNA from 1 species